GGACUAAGACAUGCUAGUUGAGCGUUUCCAGCCAAUAGGAGACGCAGCGCACAGCUCAGUAACACGUGGUAAUCUGCCCUUGGGACCGGAACACCCCCGGGAACUGGGGCUAAUUCUCGAUAGGUGAAGAACUCUGGAAUGAGUCUUUGCCAAAAAGAUGCUAGAGUUAUGCUCUUUGGCAUCGCCCAAGGAUGAGGCCGCGACCGAUCAGGUUGUUGGUGAGGUAAUGGCUCACCAAGCCUUUUACCGGUGCGGGCCGUGAGAGCGGGAGCCCGAGAUGGGCACUGAGACAAGGGCCCAGGCCCUACGGGGCGCAGCAGUCGCGAAAACAUUGCAAUACACGAAAGUGUGACAGGGUCAUCCCGAGUGCCGACCGCUGAGGUUGGCUUUUACCCAGUCUAGAAAGCUGGGGGAAUAAGGAGAGGGCAAGUCUGGUGUCAGCCGCCGCGGUAAUACCAGCUCUCCGAGUGGUGUGGACGUUUAUUGGGCCUAAAGCAUCCGUAGCUGGCUGAACAAGUCCCCUGUUAAACCCACCGAUUUAAUCGUUGGCGUGCGGGGGAUACUGCUCGGCUAGGGGACGAGAGAGGCAGACGGUAUUCCCGGGGUAGGGGUGAAAUCCUAUAAUCCCGAGAAGACCACCAGUGGCGAAGGCUGUCUGCUAGAACGCGCCCGACGGUGAGGGAUGAAAGCUGGGGGAGCGAACCGGAUUAGAUACCCGGGUAGUCCCAGCUGUAAACGAUGCAGACUAGGUGUUUGGACGGCCACGUGCCGUUCUAGUGCCGCAGGGAAGCUGUUAAGUCUGCCGCCUGGGGAGUACGAUCGCAAGAUUGAAACUUAAAGGAAU
rnacentral:rRNA from 1 species